rnacentral:lncRNA from 1 species
CGUGGGUACCCGCGGGUUACCCAAAAUGCCCACUACUUAAUGGAUAUCCACCUGUUUUACUCGUAAUUUUUUGGGUUGGAAAAGUUUGUACCCAUACUCGCAAAUUUGUGGGUAACUUGCGGGUAGCUGCAGGUUUGGAUCAAGAUUGUCAGGUCCUGCAUAGUAGCUCUACUAUAUAUAUAUAGAGGAAGAGUUGAGCUAGAAUACUCUCAAAAGCACCAAGAGAAUGGCGCUUUUGGGUUUUUAACCUUUGGGUAGAGAGAUGUAUGGUUGAGAUGAUGGUAGUAGAUGGUGGUAGGUGGAAUAGUGUUUGAUACAAGGACUAUUAGUAAUUAAGAAGUAGAUCCAAGGGCUAAAAACCUAAUAGCACUAAGGGGGUAAUAAUUCUAAAAGUAUUCUAACUCAAUUUUAUAUAUAUAUAUAUAAGUUUUUAUAUUUUUAAAGGUAGCAAAUUAUUUGUACUUAUAAGUUUUCAGCUUUAGAAUUAAAAAAUAUAUGGUUAGGAUGAUGUCAGUCUCUUAGCACCCGUUUGGUUCGGGAUUAAGAAGUGGAAUAAUCCCUUUAACCCCGAAGUUAUUUCCAAAUACCCAAUUUGAGUGGUGGGGUUAGUUAAUCCCACUCCCACCCCACACCAUUACUCCAACCAAACAAAACACUAUUUUAUCCAUUAUUUUUUUUUAUCUCACCUACUCCAACCAAACACUAUUUUAUCUAUAUCUGGACUAAACCCAAUUAUCAACCAAACACAAAAUUACUCUAACCCCAUCUUAACCCUGAACUUAACUCUAUCUCUGGAAUAACAAAUUUUUACUUAACCCUGAACCAAACAGUGGCUUAGGGUUAAGUGGGUGAUUUAUUGAAUAAUAUAAUUUAAUAAGUGUAAAUGAUUAACAGUACAGAUCUAACGGCUAAAAAUUUAUAAGUAUUAAAUACUUGUUGCUUUUAAAAAUAUCAUUGUCAAACUCUCUCUCUCUCUCUCUCUCUCUAUAUAUAUAUAUAUAUAUAUAUAU